rnacentral:miRNA from 1 species
AAGGUUGUUCCAACAAGUCCAAUACAGUCAUCAUAUAACAAUAUUGUUACAACCUUGUGUCGUCAACCUUGUAACAUUCUUGUUAUAUCAUGACUGUAUCAGACUUGUUAGAACAACCUU